rnacentral:misc_RNA from 1 species
AAGUCGUAACAAGGUUUCCGUAGGUGAACCUGCGGAAGGAUCAUUAUCAAUAUAAUAAUCCAAAACGUAUGUUAGACAGUCUUUCGGGACUGUUUAGCAUAUAAACCCAAUCUGUGAAAUGUUUUGUUUUUGCUUUUGUUUUGGCAAGGGAAGGUUCGAAAGAAUCCAACUUUACCAAAUAUAAAGCAAAAUAUAUAUCUUAUUAACCAAUCGAACCCUUUGUUAAUGUUAUUAAUAUUCUAUUGUGUGAACUGAAUUGUUUCUUACUUUUCCUUUGGCAACAAAGGUUGAGAAGAAAUUAUAUUUUUACGAAACAUAAUAAUUAAGAA